rnacentral:rRNA from 1 species
AUUGAACGCUGGCGGCAGGCUUAACACAUGCAAGUCGAGCGAGCGGCGGACGGGUGAGUAAUGUCUGGGAAACUGCCUGAUGGAGGGGGAUAACUACUCGAAACGGUAGCUAAUACCGCAUACCAUCAGAUGUGCCCAGAUGGGAUUAGCUAGUUGGUGGGGUAAUGGCUCACCUAGGCGACGAUCCGUAGCUGGUCUGAGAGGAUGACCAGCCACACUGGGACUGAUACACGGUCCAGACUCCUACGGGAGGAAGCAGUGGGGAAUUUUGGACAAUGGGCGAAACCCUGAUGCAGCCAUUCCGCGUGUGUGAAGAAGGCCUUCGGGUUGUAAAGCACUUUCGGCAAAGAAGCGGUACUCGCAGAAGAAGCACCGGCUAACUCCGUGCCAGCAGCCGCGGUAAUAC